rnacentral:lncRNA from 1 species
CCUAAUCCUCCUUGGGUUUGUCGUAAUCCAGCUCUGUUCUGGGGAGAGAUGCUGGGUGUCUGGCCUCAGUGCAAAUGGGCAGAGGAGACCAGGUACCUGCUCUCUGGGGCUGGGACUCUGGGUCCUGGAGACAAGGAGAGCGGCCCUGAGUAUGCCAGCCCUGCGGCCCCAGGAGGCUGAACCACGGCAGGGAGAGAGGCGUGACUUCCCUCCGCUGGAUGUUACCCCCACCCCAGGGGGCUCAGAGGACUCAGGGGAGGUGGCCUGCCCUUGUGCUCUCCCAGAGGAUGAAAGAGCACGCGGCCUUAACUGAGACCCCCGUCUCACUGAGCAGGGCAACUUUGGACCAGUCAGCGAAGAGAAACUUGAAGCUACGAAGCAAACGUUUCUCACAUGUGAGUGUGCAUCAGAGUCAUCUGGAGGUCUUAGCAGAGGAGAUGGCUGGGCUCCACCCUGGAGGUUCUGAUUCAGUCAGUCUGGGUGGAACCUAAUAAUUUGCAUUUCUAAGACGUUCUCUGGUGAUGCUGAAGCUGUCUGUCCUGGGCCUGCACCGUGAGAACCACUGAUGUAGGAAGAACAGCCUGGAGCUUAGUGGAGCUCGGCCAAGUGAGCCGACCCUCCGAGCCUGCUUCUUCGUCUAUAAAAUGCCACCUUAGAGACGGGAUUUAAAGGUAAUAAUUAGAGAAAUGAUGAUGUGCAAAGCACUUCAUAAACUAGAGAACACAAUGCAUUUGUUAAUGGUUUAAUAUCCCCCAUCAGCUUUAGCUUACUCACCUAUAAUAUGAGGAUAAUAAUAGUCAUUUUUGUAAAGAUUAAGUGUGAUGAUCUAUAUAAAAGCAAUUUGUGAAAUAUAAAGAACCAUGGAUUCUUG